UACAGAGGUCCCAAGCGUUGUUCGGAUUCACUGGGCGUAAAGGGUGCGUAGGUGGCGAGGUAAGUCGGAUGUGAAAGCUCCGAGCUCAACUCGGAAAUGGCAUUGGAAACUACCUUGCUCGAGGGUUUGAGGGGGGACUGGAAUACUUGGUGUAGCAGUGAAAUGCGUAGAUAUCAAGUGGAACACCAGUGGCGAAGGCGAGUCCCUGGACAAUUCCUGACACUGAGGCACGAAAGCUAGGGGAGCAAACAGG
rnacentral:rRNA from 1 species